UUAUGGUCAUAUCAUGUUGGAACAGCGGUUCUCGUACGAUCACUGAAGUUAAGCAACGUCGAGUUUGAUCAGUACCUAUAUGGGUGAGCAAUUGGAAACACCAGGUGCAGUA